rnacentral:rRNA from 1 species
CCUACGGGAGGCAGCAGUGGGGAAUUUUGGACAAUGGGCGCAAGCCUGAUCCAGCCAUGCCGCGUGAGUGAAGAAGGCCUUCGGGUUGUAAAGCUCUUUCAGCCGGAAAGAAAUCGCACUGGUUAAUACCUUGUGUGGAUGACGGUACCGGAAGAAGAAGCACCGGCUAACUACGUGCCAGCAGCCGCGGUAAU